UCCAAGGAAAUUUUGCUAAUUGAAUCCAGAAGUGCAGAAAACAAAGGAAGAUGGGUGUUUUUUGUAACUGGAAGCCUGUAUCCAGUGGAGUUCCACAGGGAUCAGUGUUGGGGCCCUUACUGUUUGUGCAAUAAGCCUGUCAGUUGUGUUCUGCGGGGGAAAAAAGUGAGUCGCAAUUUUGAUUCCUAUGACAGAAGUUAAACUGUGCUCCAUCAAUGUCAGAGGUCACAUCACCACUUAUCAAGAGCCCACAGGACAUCUCACCAUCGCGCAGAUAAGGGAGCGGAACUCAGCAGCGCUGUUCGCCUGAAUGAUCAGCUCAGAGAACUCCUCGAAUUUCGACAGCAGAGCCAGUCAUAGCCUGCGGGGUAAUCAGGCAGUCAGUUCACAUCACCAUCAGAAGGCCACUGCAGUUACUUGAUUAAGUCUUUGCUGUAGAGCUGGUUUAAAGAUCACUGAUUCUGUCAAUUGCCUGGCAGGACCAAUCAGACCGCAGGUCACUGAUGAGGCACAUUCUCUUCUUAAUGGCUGUUUCCACUCAAACUACAAGUUUCAAAGAUACAAACAAAUCGGUUACAAGAGUUUAGGUGGAUUUUCUUUGUGUGUGUGUGCAUGGUAAAUAGAUGUGAGGGAUAUAUAACUUAAACAAAAGGGGAAUGUUUCUGGGUUAAA